AGGCAAUAUUUCAAACUGAACAAAGGUCUUUUAAGAGUGGUUAUAAAUUGUUUAGUAUAAAGGUAUUGGAACAGACAAGAAGUACAAAUACAUGUAUGAAAGGUAGGGUUAUUACUGUGGAAAUGACAUGUGCCAAAAUAUAACUACAAUGUGAAAUAUUAUCACAGGGCACCAGUACAAAGACACUGUGAGCUAUUACUCAAACGUUAACAUCUGUGUGCAAGAGAGAAUAUUUAAAGAGACACUACAGUCACCAGAACCCCUACAGCUAAAU